rnacentral:rRNA from 1 species
AUGGUGGAGCGGGUGGUGGAGCGUGAUCACCGUUUCCCUGCCGGAGACGCUGUGGUCGCGCCCUGUUUCCCUGAGGAUUUCAUCAUCACCUUGGCGGAUCGUGUCCAGCGCGACCUGGUCUAUGAAGGCCGCUUCAUCGAGGUCGCUGGGGUGAAGUUUCAGCUCCGCCCCUGGUUCCCGCCGCCGGGCGGGCACAAGGUGUGGAGGUUCUACUGCCGUGUCGCUAUCGACCGUCUGCCGCUGAAUGCCUGGGAUUGGGACAGUGUCCAGGAGGUGCUUGGGAAGAAUUGCUGGCUGGACCUCAUCGAGCGCCAGUCAACCAGCAAGAGGAACAGGUCAGCGCUGUUUGCUUGGCUCUGGACAUGGAAUCCGGAUCAGAUUCCCCGAGCCUCAGACUUCAAUUUGAUCCAUCGUCCUGAUAUUGUUCGCCCACGGGACUCGUUGCCGGAGGGGGUGCCGGCGGAGGAGGGGAAGGAAGGCCCCCACUUCCCGGUCCUCAUCCACUUGGACGUCGUCAAGGAUUACACGCCACUGCCACCAUCCGCGAGCCCAACCGAGGAAUGGCCUCGCACAUACACACACAAGGGUUGGAGGAUGGGUGUGAAGGAUGGAGAGGGCAGAACCAGAGCCGCCUCGACGGCCAGCCCCUACAACGCUGGCCGGCGCAGCGACGACGACCAUGACGACGGAUUCGGUGGUGGCCGCAGGAAGAGGGGUAAGCGAGGAGGUGCGCGCAGAAGCUUCUGGCAGGGGGUGCGGGACCAGGCACAAUGCAGGGAUACUGCUGCCUAUGCUCCGGCUCCCCGUGGCCGGCGCCGCCAUGUUGAGGGCAUGGCUCCUUCCCAGGUCGCCAUUUGUCUCCCGUUAGAGGUACGGCCCCAGGCCCCGGCUGAUUCCCAACGCCGGCAAAGCCCGGCAGCACAAGACAAGGUGUAUGUCACCCCAUCGCUGCAGGUGGUCCAGGGAGAGCGCGGCUCCGGUUCUAGGGAACAGGCCGACCACCAGCAGCUCACAGAUGAGGAGAUCAAUGACGCAGAGCAGCCAAACCCUGACCAGCAGCAACGCUCGGAUGAGGAGCUCAGUGACGCCCAUAGUCUGCCUGCUUUGUCGGCUGGACAGGUUUUGCCACCUCAGGAGCUCAUGGACCGUGCACGGAGGCUCUCUGUCCUUGUGAUGGAGAAGGAGGCUGGGGGCAUGCAAGACUGGGGCCUUGCACCCACCCCUGGUGGUCUGAUGCAGCUCUUCUCCCCACCCCGGCAGAAGCAGCUCGCCCCUUGGGCCAGCAAUGUGGUUACUGAUGCAGCCUCCAUUACCGCAGCGGGGGUGACAUCCUUCUUCCAGCAACGUACCAGCUAUGAGUUGCCUCCCCUCCCGCCUUCUUUGGACGUUUGCAACCUCUCUGCAUGGGAUCUGCCUCCCCCAGGGACGCCAGCGAUGGCCUGGGACCUACCUGUUUUUUCCCAGAAUCCGUGCUGGCUACCAAGCUGGGCAGAGAUGCCUAUGACGAACCCAAGCUGGGCCUCUGGACCUGAGGUGGUGUUAGGGCCAGGGAUUCAGGCUUCACAGCAGGACCAUCCCCCUCCUGGACUAGACUGCGCUGAUAGACACAGGGAUGCAAGAUCAUUUGUCCAACAAUCCAUCGAGGAGUAG